rnacentral:rRNA from 1 species
UACGUAGGGUGUGAGCGUUAAUCGGAAUUACUGGGCGUAAAGUGUGCGCAGGCGGCAGAGCAAGUCGAGUGUGAAAGCCCCGGGCUUAACUUGGGAAUUGCGCUCGAAACUACUUUGCUGGAGUGUGGCAGAGGAAGGUGGAAUUCCACGUGUAGCGGUGAAAUGCGUAGAGAUGUGGAGGAACACCAAUGGCGAAGGCAGCCUUCUGGGC